UAAGAGGUGAACAAAAUAUUC
rnacentral:siRNA from 1 species